rnacentral:misc_RNA from 1 species
UCAUAACAUACCGUGUAUUAUUGGUGGGUUCGCCGGUAGACAGCGUAGUAGCUAUAUAGGUCAACGGUGUACGUAAACAUUGCAAGCACUUUUAACUAAAACAACUAGCCUUAUACUUAUCGGCCAUGCCACACGAUAACGUGUUAUAAUGAUUUUUGUGGAUUAUUUUGAGACAGUCGGAUUCCCAGUUUGUCUCAAUCUGUACAAGUCAGGGGAAUAUCUACAAACAGGAUUUCCAGAGCUCGUGAGUGACGUCAGGCUGUUGGCUGGAAUUAGGAACACGCACUGAGGACACCACCUUUAGAUCAAUCUGGUACAAACAUCCUCUCUUUGUUGACAAAUGCCAGGUAGUUUCCGCACGAGACAGUAACCAUUACGACAAUGGCCAAACCGUCUACCUACGUUAAUGUCGCACCGCCACCACCACCCCCGGACCGAAACAGAAAGCGGUCUAUUUGUCAAUCUUGCAAUUGUCCAAAUUGUCAUGAUAUGGAAUCUUGCACUGGCACAGUGAUAAAUGGUGGUUAUCUCAGGACUGUCGCCGAUAGACCCCCUGUUCCAUGUCGACAACGACAAUUUACAGAUGACUUUUCUCCAGAAGAAUAUUUUAAAGAAUGUGAUAAACCAAAACCUGAUACAAGGCGAAUGAAGGAACUUGACAUCCCCUUACCAUUGCCAUCGGCACAAAGCAAUGAUUCUGUGUUUGAUUCCCUUCCCUCGUCAAAUCCCCCUGUUCCAUUCUUACAUGAGUUUCACACACAUAUUCCACCUAAACUUUCGAUUCACGAUCGUUUCAUUCAACGUCACCCCUCGCCACAACCACCCGCCCCUUCACAGAUAAGACCUCACCGGAAACCCUCUGAUGAGUUACCGAAUCCUAAUGUUUUAAACCAACUUCUUAUGAACGAACAAACAGUCGAAGUGCCAAGACAGAAAGAAAAAGGACACGAUCAGUUACCACAAUUUGAAUUAACUUUACCCAGGAAAAAGAGUGAACGAAGAAAAACCGGCAGACGUCAACCUGCUAAGGUACCUUUGUGGAUGAAAUUGGGAACAAUAUUCGCUUUUAUUCCCUUCUUUGGAUUAUCAUAUAUGGUCUUUAAAACUGGUAAAGACAUUUUCUUUGUACAUAAUCGACAUUUACGUCCAGCCCAACACAGCUGGAAUUAUUCAGAACCAGACGAAUCCAAGUUGGAUACAACGGUUUGUUUUUCAUGUGACUUGGUUGAUGAAUUCAGGAGUCGCCAUCGGGGACAACAAUUAGGUGACCUCAAGAUAUACGGCUUCAAAUCCUCUGACAAAAGACGGCAUUGUUGUAUGGAUCAGCUUGGACACACGAAAUGGAUGGUCAACAUGAUGAAAACGAGAGAAAUAUUAGGGCGACAAGAAGCGAGAAAUCCCGAUUCAGAUGGAGUGUGUUCAGCUAAGUCCACUCAUGUGCCCGUGUAUAACAGGUGUUCACAAGGUGAGGCGAGUUUAAAACUGGACAAAGAGAAUACCACACCGAUGUGCAAAGGAGCGGGGAUAAAAGUGACUAAUGAUUCUUUGCUGGCAGAAGAGGAAGGGCUGUAUAUUGUAUAUAUGACUUUGACGGUCACACUUUCUCCAAAAACAGAUUGCGGAAAAAAGAUUGAAAGUAAAGUAUUAAGAGCCCAUCUUCACUGCAAUAAGUCUGCGAAGAAAAGGUGUAUUGAGAUGGAAACCUACAAUGUAACCAGAACAAAUACGGACUCUACAUACUUUCAACAUUCGUUCAAUUUAUACACAAUGAAAAAUUUUACGAGGGGAGAACAGUUUUUUCCAUCUUUAUCCCAUCCGUCGUAUCUGUACACGGCGAAAUAUGGAAACUAUAUCGGCGUGGUUCAACUUUAGUGUGUCAAAUCAUGGACUGGAUGACUGGGAAUGUGGUCGAACACACAAAGUGCUGCAUACUGAGUGAUCAGACAAACUGCUAUUUAAAUGUUCCCUAAAUGGUAUGCCCCAUUUAUGAAUACACACUGUAUUUGAAAUAAUGGCUCCCAGGGUGGCGUUCAAAUAGUAGCGUUGUAGACACAAUGCCAAGAUGGAUCUGAAACUGUCUGUGACCAUGCCAAUCUGAGAUUAUGAUGAGAUAUAUGGUCUAUUGAAUAGAAGAUGAUACAUCUAUUUUGAUUUCUGAUAGAUGGAUGUUAUCAUUUAAGUAACACAUACAAUAUGCAGGGUUAUACGCAUUGACUAAACACAUGUUGUAUGACAUAUUUACAAACGUAUGUAGGAACAUUCAUAGUAAGGUUUUUUGUCGUACAUGAGUCAGAUUCUUACUAUAUGUUCGAUAAGUUUACAUAAAGACAAUUAACUUUUGACAUAUAAUUUCCUGACGCAAUAAAUUAUGGAUCAUUGUGAUAUAACCAUUCUGUGCCAAUAUUGAUAUAUUCUGUAUUAUCAUUUUACAUCCCAUACUAGAGUCUACCAUGUUGUAUAUACAUUGUAUAUGGCACAAACAGUUUUGCCAAACGCAGGUUUGUCGUUUUAAAGCUGAUAAUAUUGAUUUGUAUUUUCAUAUACAAUAAACAUAAAGUACCAAAAUCAUGUUCCUUAACUAAGGUGUGAUACCACGAUCGAAUUCUGGUCAUCCCAAUUUUGGUUUACAGAAAAAUGUCGUUUCUGUGUCCUUAGAUAAAACAACAAGAGUACAAAUUAGAAUGCAAAAGAAUAGGUCUUUUAACAAUUUGAAUUAUAUAAGUAUCAACAACGAAGGCAGAACGAGGUUGAUUUUGAAUAUGAAUUUUUUGGCAACAAUAAAAAUUAAUGGUUCAUUUAGCGAUGUGAAUCCUACACAAAUAUGCAUAAAUGAACAAUUACAUUGUACAUUGUAAUUUGUACAAAUUAUGUCUGGAUUCAGCUUGUUGACUUCGUCUCAUACAGAUGGCUAUAACAACAAAAUGGCAAUUAUCUGAAUACCAAGUUUAAAAAAUCAGAUAAUAUACUUCUUGAAUAUUUGCUCAAUUGCAUUUUAUUAAUUUGGAAACCCAAACUUUCAUUCCAAAAGAACAUGCAGAUAUAAUAAGUAAAUAUCUGUGAAACACUGCAAACAAAAUUAUAACGUGCCAGGGACCACCACUUCUGUUGACUGUGAGUGACUUAACACGAACGAUAUCGAUUUUUUUUUUACAGUAUGAUCAAUACGUUAGAUAGAAUUCAGUUGUGAAGAUCUGAAGUACAUAAUGUUUAUAAAUAUUGCAUAUGUUUUUGUAUUAUACAUGUCACAUCAAUAAAACAUCUUGGUUACUGUUGAUGUAUAGUUUAUUCUAAAUAUGAUAAUGUUUAGUCUUUCUGUAUAAGUAAAACUGCCGUAAUGUCUUCCCAAAAUCACUUAACGUUAUACCCUGCUAAAUUACACUUUAAGCCUAUUCCAUUUCUUUUUGAAACACAAAUUUUAUUAAGUUUUACAACAAUACGAAACAAGUAAUUAUAACCUUUGAUUGGCCCGGAUGUCAGGGCUCGGGGUUUUUCAUCGAGAAGGGAGUAUGGAUGUCUUUUAAUGCCAUACUGUACAAUUUUUUGAUAUUACUCAAUUGAUAGGUCAUACCUAAGUUGUCUGUGAUACUGUGUCAAGUUAACACUUUGUAAGUCUUCCUAGGGUACACUAUUGUAUUUUAUUACACUUUCAGUAAGUCUUCCUGAGGUACACUAUUGUAUUUUAGUACACUUUGUACGUCUUCCUAAGGUACACUAUUGUAUUUUAGUACACUUUGUACGUCUUCCUAAGGUACACUAUUGUAUUUUAGUACACCUUCAGUAAGUCUACCUAAAGUACACUAUUGUAUUUUAGUACACUUUGUACGUCUUCCUAAGGUACGCUAUUGUAUUUUAGUACACUGUCAGUAAGUCUUCCUAAGGUACAUUUUGUAUUUUAGUUCACUGUAAGAAAGUCUUUCUGAUGAAAAACUUUUGACAAGCCUUCCUGAGUUCACUUUUACCUAAACUACACUAUAAGUAAGUUUUCUUAAAGUUCACAUUCAGUAGGUCUUAAAUGUUGGUAAGUCUCUCUAGAUACAAGUAUUAACUUAACACUUGGAUCGGUAUAUCAUCUUUAAGUACUGUAUCGUUAUUUUGACUGAUUUUAUUUCUAAGAGAGUUGCGUACACAUUAUACAUUACCAUGUAUUGUCUUUUCAACAGUUACCUGGUAUGGGUAUAUAUACAGUGUUGUUACGGUAAAACAUGGACAGUGCAUAUUCACGGCUGUUUAUUGAUGAAUCGUAUUAUAUUGUUAUAUGUUUUGAUAUAAAAUAAACCAAACUUUUAACACGUCUCUUAA